GUUGAAACACCGGUUCUCGUCCAAUCAAUGAAGUUAAGCAGCUUUGAGCUUGGACAGUACCUAGAUAGGUGACCGCUUGGGAAUAAACAGAUGCUGUAAG